rnacentral:tRNA from 1 species
AAGGCCUUAGCUUAAUUAAAGCUUCUGCGUUGCAUGCAGAGGAUGUGGGUUAGUGUCCUGUAGGUCUUA